GGCAGAAAGCGUCUAGCCAUGGCGUUAGUAUGCC
rnacentral:misc_RNA from 1 species